rnacentral:tRNA from 2 species
GCGGAAGUGGCUCAGUGGUAGAGCAUCACCUUGCCAAGGUGAGGGUCGCGGGUUCAAAUCCCGUCUUCCGCU